rnacentral:rRNA from 1 species
AGCCGGCCCCAUCCGAAUUUGCUUUGCGAUUCCAGCGCUCCCGGGGGGGGGGGGGUUUUAGGUUUGAGCCUGACCGGCGGCCGGGGUGAAACCCUUUCGCCCGGUUACAAAGGAAAAAAGAUAAAACACCCCUUUCCUCCCCUAAACCCCCGGGUCCCAAAAAAAAAAGGAACAAAGUUCGAUCCCCAUGUGGGAAGGCUAGUUGUUUACUAAGUUAUUGGUCAAAGGCGCCCCAAGAGGUGACCCGUCCCCAGGGGGAUGGACCUUGGGCCCAACUUCGGGCGGGAGCCACCCCUUGGGGAUUUUCGGGAAGGGGCAAACCCUUGAUUGAGCAACCCCGGGAGAACGACGAGCCCUUGGGGGGGUAAUGUGGUUGUUUAUGGAAGUAUUGCUGUAGUAGGAAAUGAGUAUAGAUUGACGGUACCUACCGAAUAAGCCCCGCCUACCUACGUCCCAGCAGCAGCGGUAAUACAUAGGGGGCAAGCGUUAUCCGGAAUUAUUGGGCGUAAAGGGUGAGUAGUCGGCUACUUAAGUAUGGGGUAUAAACACAGUGCUCAACGCUGUGAGGCUUUGAUAACUGGGUAGCUAGAGUGAGAUAGAGGCAAGUGGAAUUCCAUGUGUAGCGGUAAAAUGCGUAGAUAUAUGGAGGAACACCAGUGGCGAAGGCGGCUUGCUGGGUCUAUACUGACGCUGAGGCACGAAAGCGUGGGGAGCAAACAGGAUUAGAUACCCUGGUAGUCCACGCCGUAAACGAUGAGUACUAAGUGUCGGAAGAAUUCGGUGCUGUAGUUAACGCAAUAAGUACUCCGCCUGAGUAGUACGUACGCAAGUAUGAAACUCAAAGGAAUUGACGGGACCCCGCACAAGCGGUGGAUCAUGUUGUUUAAUUCGAAGAUACGCGAAGAACCUUACCAGGUCUUGACAUCCCCUGCAAAGCUUAAGAGAUUAAGUGGAGGUUAUCAGGGUGACAGGUGGUGCAUGGUUGUCGUCAGCUCGUGUCGUGAGAUGUUCGGUUAAGUCCGGUAACGAGCGCAACCCUCGUUGUUAGUUGCCAUCAUUAAGUUGGGGACUCUAACAAGACUGCCAGUGAUAAACUGGAGGAAGGUGGGGAUGACGUCAAAUCAUCAUGCCCCUUAUGACCUGGGCUACAAACGUGAUACAAUGGCUGAAACAAAGGGAAGCGAAAGGGUGACCUGGAGCAAAACUCAUAAAAACAGUCUCAGUUCGGAUUGAAGUCUGCAACUCGACUUCAUGAAGCUGGAAUCGCUAGUAAUCGCGAAUCAGAACGUCGCGGUGAAUACGUUCUCGGGGUUUGUACACACCGCCCGUCAAACCACGAAAGUCAGCAAUACCCAAAACGCGGUGGCCUAACCUGCAAAGGGACGGAGGCC